rnacentral:rRNA from 1 species
AUUGAACGCUGGCGGCAGGCCUAAUACAUGCAAGUCGAGCGGAUGAAGGUAGCUUGCUUCUGGAUUCAGCGGCGGACGGGUGAGUAAUGCAUAGGAGGCUGCCUGGUAGUGGGGGAUAACGUCCGGAUACGGGCGCUAAUACCGCAUACGUUCUGAGGGAGAAAGUGGGGGAUUUUCGGACCUCACGCUAUCAGAUGAGCCUAGGUCGGAUUAGCUAGUUGGUGGGGUAAAGGCCUACCAAGGCGACGAUCCGUAACUGGUCUGAUAGGAUGAUCAGUCACACUGGAACUGAAACACGGUCCAGACUCCUACGGGAGGAAGCAGUGGGGAAUAUUGGACAGUGGGCGAAAGCCUGAUCUAGCCCUGCCGCGUGUGUGAAGAAGGUCUUCGGAUUGUAAAGCACUUUAAGUUGGGAGAAAGGUCGGUAGGUUAAUACCUUGAUGUAUUGACGUUACCAACAGAAUAAGCACCGGCUAACUUCGUG